GAUGAACGCUAGCUACAGGCUUAACACAUGCAAGUCGAGGGACCGGCGCACGGGUGAGUAACACGUAUCCAACCUGCCCUUUACUCGGGGAUAGCCUGUCGAAAGAAAGAUUAAUACACGAUCUUAAGGUUGGGGAUGGGUUCCAUUAGGUUGUUGGGGAGGUAAAGGCUAACCAAGCCUUCGCUGGAUAGGGGUUCUGAGAGGAAGGUCCCACACAUUGUAACUGGGACACGGUCCAAAUUCGUACGGGAGGGAGCAGUGAGGAAGAUUGGUCAAUGGUCGCUAGCCUGAACCAGCCAAGUAGCGUGAAGGGUGAAGGCUUAUGGGUCGUAAACUUCUUUUAUAUAAGAAUAGGUAUUAUAUGAAUAAGGAUCGGCUAACUCCGUGCCAGCAGCCGCGGUAAUUC
rnacentral:rRNA from 1 species